GAUGAACGCUGGCGGCGUGCCUAAUACAUGCAAGUCGAGCGAACAGACGAGGAGCUUGCUCCUCUGACGUUAGCGGCUGACGGGUGAGUAACACGUGGAUAACCUACCUAUAAGACUGGGAUAACUUCGGGAAACCGGAGCUAAUACCGGAUAAUAUAUUGAACCGCAUGGUUCAAUAGUUAAAGACGGUUUUGCUGUCACUUAUAGAUGGAUCCGCGCCGCAUUAGCUAGUUGGUAAGGUAACGGCUUACCAAGGCAACGAUGCGUAGCCGACCUGAGAGGGUGAUCGGCCACACUGGAACUGAGACACGGUCCAGACUCCUACGGGAGGCAGCAGUAGGGAAUCUUCCGCAAUGGGCGAAAGCCUGACCGAGCAACGCCGCGUGAGUGAUGAAGGUCUUCGGAUCGUAAAACUCUGUUAUUAGGGAAGAACAAAUGUGUAAGUAACUAUGCACGUCUUGACGGUACCUAAACAGAAAGCCACGGCUAACUACGUG
rnacentral:rRNA from 1 species